GGCGGCGUGGUGUAAUGGCUAACACAUCAGUCCGGUCUACUGAAGAUGCUGUUCGCUCCCAGCCGCCGAAU